AUAUCAAUAAGCGGAGGAAAAGAAACCAACAGGGAUUGCCUCAGUAACGGCGAGUGAAGCGGCAACAGCUCAAAUUUGAAAUCUGGGGCCUUCGGCUCCCGAGUUGUAAUUUGUAGAGGAUGCCUCGGGGGGUGCUUCGGCCCAAGUUCCUUGGAACAGGAUACCACAGAGGGUGAGAGUCCCGUAUCCGGCCGGCAGUGCCCUCCGCGCGAGGCUCCUUCGACGAGUCGAGUUGUUUGGGAAUGCAGCUCUAAGCGGGUGGUAAAUUCCAUCUAAAGCUAAAUACUGGCCAGAGACCGAUAGCGCACAAGUA
rnacentral:rRNA from 1 species